rnacentral:rRNA from 1 species
AGAUUGAACGCUGGCGGCAUGCUUUACACAUGCAAGUCGAACGGCAGCACGGGGGCAACCCUGGUGGCGAGUGGCGAACGGGUGAGUAAUGCAUCGGAACGUAUCUUCAAGUGGGGGAUAACGCAUCGAAAGAUGCGCUAAUACCGCAUAAUCUCCGAGGAGAAAAGCAGGGGAUCGCAAGACCUUGCGCUUUUGGAGCGGCCGAUGUCUGAUUAGCUAGUUGGUGAGGUAAAGGCUUACCAAGGCUUCGAUCAGUAGCUGGUCUGAGAGGACGACCAGCCACACUGGGACUGAGACACGGCCCAGACUCCUACGGGAGGCAGCAGUGGGGAAUUUUGGACAAUGGGGGAAACCCUGAUCCAGCCAUGCCGCGUGAGUGAAGAAAGGCCUGG